AAGUAUUAAAUUGGUGCAAAAGUAAUUGUGGUUUUUGCCAAUAAAAAUAAUGGUAAAAACCACAAUUACUUUUGCACCAACCUAAUAUAU
ensembl:miRNA